UACAGAGGAGCCAAGCGUUGUCCGGAUUGACUGGGCGUAAAGCGCACGCAGGCGGUCUGGCGCGUGGGGUGUGAAAUCUGGCCGCUUAACGGCCAGGCGCCAUCCCAUACGGCCGGACUGGAGCCUUGCAGAGGUCGGUGGAAUUGCCGGUGUAGUGGUGAAAUGCGCAGAUAUCAGGAGGAACACCGGUGGCGAAGGCGGGUCCCUGGGCCGAUACUGACGCUGAGGAGCGAAAGCGUGGGGAGCGAACAGG
rnacentral:rRNA from 1 species